AGAAUCAACGCUGGCGGCGUGCCUAACACAUGCAAGUCGAACGAGAAAGUGGAGCAAUCCAUGAGUAAAGUGGCGCACGGGUGAGUAACACGUGACUAACCUACCCUUGAGUGGGGAAUAAACUUCGGGAAACCGAGGCUAAUACCGCAUAACACCUACGGGUCAAAGGAGCAAUUCGCUUAAGGAGGGGGUCGCGGCAGAUUAGUUAGUUGGCAGGGUAAUGGCCUACCAAGACGGUGAUCUGUA
rnacentral:rRNA from 1 species